GACCUGUCACUUAUCACCGUUACUCUUCUGAUUAUUCUCAUGUCAAGGUGACCUGACACAGUGCUUGCUUCUCAUUUUGGGAGACUUAAUGAAGGAGUAAAUAAUCGUCUGGCUGUCAAACAGCCAACACUUCAGAUGCCAGGACAGAGACCAAGUUUUCCUGUGUUUGCUGUCGGACCACAACCACUAUGGCAGGGCCCUUUACACCGGAUUUUGACUCGUCAUCGUUAUCCCGGGGUCCCCUCUCCUGAAGAUCCCCACUGGGUGGUUGGUCCUCACAGUCAACACUGAGACUGACAUCAGCGUAGCCAUCUCAUUACUCUCCAAGGGAUCUGGGAGAGCUGGGACCUGAGCUGAGCAGCAGGAUGACUGGCUGUGAAAAAGGUUGCAGUCAGAAUUAAACAUGAGCAACCCGACCACUGUGGUAUGUUGGCCAUCCGUCACUCUCUGCAGCACGAAGGGGCUACCUGUGCACGUCCAGUGGGUCUGUCAAGUAUUGGAAUAGACACACUUGGCUGCACAGAGGUAGAAUCAGAAUUGCAGAUGGGGAAGGAGAGGAAAAAGAAAAAUAAGCCAAUCGAUGUAGAUUGAGGGUCUACAUUAUAAAGUCACAGAGAGAUGGUCUGUAUUUAUCUGGUCCAAAGAUAAUGUUAGGCUACAGUUACAUUUGUCAUUUAAAUGUGAUUUGAGCGCUGAUUCUAAAAAUCACAGUUGAAUAACUUUAAUUCACCACUUGGCAUGAACAUUUUUUUUAUGUAUUAAUUUAAAGCAGAACUCUGGUUAUUUUGACCUAGAUCCUAUUAGGGAUAUUCCAUAGUCCAUUUAUUCAACCUUUGUGUUGAAUAAAUGUCAGUGGUUUGUCCGAAGAAUUUGGUCAACAGAAAUGCCCAUAUUUACAGUAUUUGGGAUUUGCUGUACACUUAAAGAAAACAUUUUUGGCUAUUUUAAUGAGUAAACUGUUUUUACAAGAAGUACUUAAUUUUAUGCCAACAUAAGUAUGCCUCAUACAUGUGGUUGCCUUGGUGUAAGAGGUUCAAAUAAACAAUGUCAGAUGACAUCCCAAAA